GACGUUUUGUUUAAUUUCGAAUGUUUCAAAAUAUUUUCGGUCCAGUUUAAAUAAGCUUAUGAACAACUGGUUAACUGCUGCAGAAGAAACAUUCACAGAGUUUAAAGAAAUAAUCGUCAAAACGGAGGAAGAGAUGGAUGAUCAGCGCAGACUGCUAGAUUUUUCCCGGAUUCCCCAGAUAAUAUUACACCGAAUAGAUCGCCAACGACAUAACAUUUAUAAGGAGAAGCCAUGUGACCAGGAGAGGAGCUCCACUCUGGACCAGGAGGAGUUAGAACCUCUGCAGGGGAAUCAAGAACAGGAAGAGCCAGAGGAUCACAAACAUCAACAGAGAAAAGUGGGAGAGAAAGAAGUUGACUGCAGUCAGAGUGAAGAACAGGUUGCAUCAAAACAGGAGACUGAUACCUUAAUGGUGGCUACAGUUUAUGAGCAAACACACCACAAUCAAUCGGAACCAAACGGGAACCAAGUCAACUUCCAGGAAGCUGAGAACCAAAAUCAGGAGAGAAGCAAACCUUUCACAUGUGUCAUCUGUGAAAAACAUUUCACUACCAAAUAUGCUCUCAAUGAUCAUAUUAGAAUUCAUACUGGCGAAAAGCCGUUUUCAUGUGGGAAACGUGGACAAAGUUUUAUUCAAAAACAGGAUUUAACUCAGCACAUGAUGAUUCAUACUGGUAAAAAGCCGUUUUCAUGUGGGAACUGUGGACAAAGUUUCAGUC